AUAAAAAAAUAAAACAAAACAGAAACAGAAGCUCGUGAAAAUCAAAAUCCCAUCGUAAAUCCUCUCCAAACCAAACCAUCUUCUUUUCGGUGUACAAUAAUUGAUUAUCUCCAAAUCACCAAAAUCACCUUCAAAUUAGUUUCAUUCAAAUCAUCUUAGGGCUUCAAAUCAUCUUCUCAAAUCAAUUUCAUCUUAGGGCUUCAAAUCAUCUUCUGAAAAAGGUUUAGGGUUUCAGCUCGUGAGUAGCCUAGAGCGAACAAAGGAACGUAGCACUUUCAUUGAACACAACAUUAAGCUCGUGAUUCGGUAUUGGAUUCGCCUAUUUCAAAAUCUUGAUGAGACUGGAAAAAGAGGGUCCUAAAUUGACAAAGUGCUCAAUGUUGAGAUUGACGAUGUAAUCUUUGAGGAGAGAAUUACUGGAUGCUGGAUACACCUCCCAUUGGUAGAACCUACCAUACAAAGUAUGGCCCUCCCAAGGCUCCUGGUGUUGAUGAGGUUUACCUGUACGGUGGUCAUGUGACUUGGAAGAAUGAACACGGUUCGAAUUUCUUUUCCUCAGUAGUAAGAUGUUGUUGCUGCACAUCGAGGCCUCGACUUCAUGUUUGGAUGUUAAAGAUUAAAAUCAAAUAUUAGUCUCUAUCUUAAGUGAUUUGUGUUGUAUAUGUAAACUAUGUUUUAGAAAUUGUUUCAGGUUUUAAAGGAGAUGAAGAGUUGUGGUGUGCAGCCCGAUAAGCAAUUUUAUAAUGUGAUAAUUGAUACUCUUGGAAAGAAGUAUAAUUGUCUUGAUCAUGAGAUGGCAACAUGGAAUACCUUGAUUGAUUGUCAUUGUAAGUGUGGGCGACAUUAUAGGGCAGAGGAAUUGUUUGAGGUAUACUGAGAAAUCUAAAGGGAACAAAAGCUAUAGAAAUUUUGGCAUUGAAGUUGCAAAUUAAGGACAAGUAUAAUUUAUUCAAGGGACUAAAGAAGAUCCUAAGUCUCAGUCAGCCAAGGGGUCUGUUCAGAAAACAAGUUUAGGAUGACAAGAAUGAAAGUUCAUCCUCUAGACACCAUUCCACUUCAAGGUUCAUAUCAACAUAAUGGUGUAUUUCAUUAUCAAUUAUAGGAGUGUGUAAUAACUAAUUAUGUAAAACGAUUAUAUAAGCUUAGCAUUCCCUAUAAUAUAAAUAUGAAAUUUUUUCUUUUUUUUUUUUUCAUUUCAAUCAUGUAAGCAUUUUCUCAUAGUUUAAGUCUCUGAGAGACCUUUACUAAUUUCAACUUAUGUCAUAUUAUAUUGGUAUAUGAGUUUGUAGGACUAAUAGAACUCAAUUUUGCUAGUAGCCAUGGAGUGAACAUGUCAUGGAGUGAACAUGUCAUGGUUGUAAAGUACUUUUUUAGACCUUGUUAUGAUAUUUGUAAACAAGUGGAUUUGAUUUAAAAUAUUUGGUAUUGAUAGAUCAUAAUAUGUAUGCAAUGAGUAACUUAAAGCGUUAUUUGGUAUUGAAUUGAAUGUAGUUUUUUGAUAUUUGCACACCAAGAGAAUGAUUUUGUGUACAAUUUUUUUAUAUAUAAAAUGUACUACAAUAGCAUUUUGUAAAGAGUGCUAUUAAUGAAACAUCCAAUAAUAGCACCUUAAGAGAAAGUGCUAUCAAACAUGUGUCAUAUAUUAGCGCUUUAUUUGAAAGUGCUAUUAAACAUGUGACAUAUAUUAGCGAUUUGUUUGAAAGUGCUAUCAAACAUGUGCCCUAUAAUAGCGCUUAGUUUGAAAGUGCUAUCAAACAUGUGCUCUAUAAUAGCGCUUAGUUUGAAAGUGCUAUCAAAAACAAAUAAAAAAACGUGCGUAAUGUCCACUUCAGUAGCACUUAAAAAAAACGCUAUUAAAAUCAGUACUUUAAUAGCGCUUUUAAAGUGCUAUUAAACAAAAAAUGUUUACAAUAGCGGCGCGGUUAAUAGCACUUUUAAGUGCUAUCAAAAACCAAAAAAAACGCUAUUAAAUAACUUAUUUGGCGUAGUGACAAAUCUUAAUCGGUGUUUUUCUGAUCUUUUUGCUUAAUCGCUUCGGAUUUAUGUUGUAUUAGAAAUAUGCUUCUUGAAUCUUGAUUAGGAGAAUACCUGUUAGUUCUAGAUUCUAGACAUAAGAUUUGGGGUUAACAUCCACAUGAUAUCGGAGUUUAAUGCUUCUGUGUUGUUCGAUCGUCGAAAGAGCAAUAUAGUUGAACUCUCGUCGGUGUUGCAGAAAUGGACAUUGAUGUGAGAGGUAUGUGGUGAUUCUGACGAGUAUUGUAGAUUGAGUUCAACGGAGUGAUAAAUCUAAAUUUGUGAGGAUUAGUUUAGAUUCAAACCAGAUAAGGUAUUCUCUAUCAAGAAUGUAUUUAUUUUAUGUUCAUAUGUUAUAUUUUCCAUUUUUACUUAAAACCCAUUUAAUCUAAACUCAUAACUGCAGAAAUUGUUGAAUGACAGUUUGAUAUCACUAAUCUCUGUAGACACGAUAAAUUCCCGGAUAAAUAUUUCCAAAACUUUUGUUGCUUGUCGCUUUACCGCAACAUAGAACUACCCUGAGGGAGAUGAUGUUAUUGGACCAUAAAUCACCCAUAGAACUACCCUGAUAGGACAUGAAACUUAUCCCCUUCUACGAUAAAGAGGUACUUAGCAGAAUUCAAAAAUCUAACGUCUCAUUAUCAACAUGAGCCAUUAUGGUAAAAUUUGAUGUACAAAGGGUUUUGGUUGAUUAGCGGAGCUCAUACGACAUCAUGUACGCUAAUCUCUUAGAAAAACUAUGACUGACCUAGGAGAGCCUCAUCCCAUACAAAGUUAGUGAUCUCUAGGGAUUCAAUGGAUCAACAAUAAGGCCAUGGGACUAUGUCGACUUAAUGGUAUUUUUUUAAAGGAAGGAGACCAAGAAAAUAAUGAAGGUA